ACCUUUCACUCUUUGCAUGCUUUGCAUAGGCUGUUCAUUCAGGUGCUGAUCUUGAAUCUGCAAUUGCCACUUUCUUGGGCUACACAUGCAAGGGUUAUGACUCUAUGAACAUGGGAAAAAGUCAUCAUGCCAAUUGUUUAUCACCAAAGCUACAGGAAUCGCUAAACUUCAUCCAAGCACAUGCAGGAGAAAAGAACUUUGGUCCUCUGCUGGAGAAAUUACUAGAAUCACGCAUUGAACUUCAUCCAAUUCUUUUUGGGGCUAGUGGGAGGUUGAAAGAUUUUAUAUACCUUGACCUUGCUUUGGACUCAGCCGUUAAAACAUCCAUAGAGAAGAGCUUCACUGUACUGAGCAAUGCACAUUUGCAGGAACUUAUGUCUUUGGUAUCUUUGAUGCUUGAAAACUUGUGCCUUUCAACAGUCAACAAUGAAGACCUCAUUUAUAUCACCAAGGACUGGUACCGUGCCUGUGAUUCAUAUAAACCUCAUGAUCAGCAGUGGUCCUUGCAUACAAAAGCUGUUCUUGACCGUAUACAGCUGACACUUGCUGAUAAGGCUCAAUAUUACCUGAAAAUGAUGCAACCAAGUGCAGAAUAUCUAGGCAAAUUGCUUAGAGUGGAAUCUUGGGCUGUUGUCAAUUUCACAGAGGAGUUAAUCAGAGCAGGGUCUGGAGCAACUCUCUCAAUACUUGUUAAUCGUCUAAAUCCCAUAAUUCGAAAUAUAGCAAACCUGGGAAGCUGGCAGGUUAUCAGUCCAGUGGAAGUAUGUGGUUUCAUAGACUGUGUGAACAAACUUAUAGAUGUUCAGAGCAAAGUCUUCAACAGACCGACGAUUAUAAUAUCAAAUAAAGUGACCGGUGAGGAAGAGAUCCCGGAUGGAGUUGUUGGGGUGCUGACAUCAGAUAUGCCUGAUGUUCUAUCUCAUGUUUCUAUAAGAGCUAGAAAUAAUAAGGUGUGUUUUGCUUCAUGCUUUGAUCAAAAUAUUCUUCAAGAUCUCCAACUGAAGAAGGGCAUGAAAAUUUCAGUAAGACCAACACCAUCGGGCCUAGCAUACAGUGAAGUCAAGUCAGUUUGUUCUUUUUACCCGCAAAAAGCAUCUUUCUCUCCAAAAGGAGUGAUGUUAAAGAAGAAGACUUUCAGUGGCAGAUUUGCUAUCUCAGCUCAGGAGUUCUCCAGUGAAAUGGUUGGUGCUAAAUCCAACAACAUUGAAUAUCUUAGAGGUAGAGUCCCAUCAUGGAUAAAAGUUCCAAUUUCGGUUGCUCUUCCUUUUGGAGCGUUUGAAGCUUCCAUUUCAGCAGAGGUUAACAAGGAUUUGGCAAAGAAAGUUUCUUUCUUCAAUGGAUUAGUAAAUGGAGGAGACAUUGCAAAACUUCAAAUGAUACAAGAUGCUAUAUUAGAAAUGAAAGCUCCUUUUCAGUUGAUGAGUGAACUUAAAUACAAAAUGAGAAGUUCAAAAUUGUGUUGGCCUGGUGAUGAGGGUGAAGAAAGGUGGAACCAAGCAUGGCAAGCCAUAAAGAAGGUUUGGGCCUCAAAGUGGAAUGAAAGAGCAUAUGUUAGUUGCAGAAAAGCUAAAUUGAAACAUGAUGACCUCUGUAUGGCUGUAUUGGUUCAAGAAGUAGUGAAUGCUGAUUAUGCUUUCGUAAGCCAUACAAGAAAUCCCAUUUCUGGAAACCCCUCAGAGAUCUAUACGGAGAUUGUAAAGGGCUUGGGAGAAACAUUGGUGGGUGCAUAUCCAGGACGGGCUAUGAGCUUUAUUACCAAGAAGUCUGCACUACAAUCUCCGAAUGUAAGAUCAUCAGUUAUCCUAGCAAACCUGUAGGCAUGUUUAUCAAAAAAUCACUAAUAUUCAGAUCAGACUCCAAUGGGGAAGACUUGGAAGGAUAUGCUGGUGCAGGACUUUACGACAGCGUAACCAUCAAUAAAAUGGAGAAGGUUGUUCUGGACUACUCAUUUGAUCCACUUAUCUGGGAUAAAUCCUACCAACGGUCAAUAUUCCAGAGAAUUGCAGAGGCUGGAAAGAUAGUUGAACACAUUUUUGGUUCUGCCCAGGACAUAGAAGGUGUGGUGAAGGAUGGGGAGAUUUAUAUAGUUCAGACAAGGCCUCAAAUAUAAGAUUUGUAGUAGAGCUAUAUAGACCCUUGGAUUUUGUAUCCAGCUACCUGUGCCACCUUAACAAUGUAGUUUGAUAAAUAUUAUCAUGCCAUUUGCUGAAUAAAUUAAAAGAUCUCCCAGGGGAACAAAAUUUCCAUAAUAUUACAGGAAAUUUUUGAACUUGUGAAUUAAUUUAUUAUAUUUAUGUGCAUCUGAAAACCGAUUUAUGGA